CGUGUGUGGUUUGCGAGGGUGCGCUGGGGAAGGGCGGCAGCCCUGUGUGUCCUUUGUGUUGGCAGGGGGAACCUGGCUGGUCACCGAGUUCCUCGCACACGCUGCUUACUGCAGUUUUCAGUUUGGAUUUCCGGUGAAUAGCACUGGGCUUCGGGCGACCCGACCCUGAAGGCAGUUCCUUGAAACUUCCAACCUCGCGCCGAGGCCGUCUGUCCGAAUGCCGCCGCCUCUCCGGGCGGGGAAGGAGAAAGCAGCGGACGGCUUUUCCCAGCCUAGGCGUCUGCCCUCCUGUUGUUGUCGCUGGCUGCCCUUCUGGAUGCACCAAGAUGCUGGGGAGAGGGGCAGCCUGUCCCCACUCAUCGCCCAGCAAAUGCCUCCCCGGUUUGGAACCUGGCCCGGCUUGCUCCAGUUUGGAACCUGCCCGGCGGACCCAUUCCGGGAUCCCGGCCUCACGUCCGAUGCCAGCACUGAAAUCCAUGUCCUCACGAAGCUCUGGAUGACAAUCUCAGACUGUCCCUCUGGACUGUAAGUUCCUUGUGGGCAGGUAUCGUGCCUACCGACCUCGUUGUGUUGUACUCCCCUAAGCCCUCAAUAAAUAAAUUC